UACGAAGGGGACUAGCGUUGUUCGGAAUUACUGGGCGUAAAGCGCACGUAGGCGGAUUUGUAAGUCAGGGGUGAAAUCCCGGGGCUCAACCUCGGAACUGCCUUUGAUACUGCAAAUCUCGAGUCCGAUAGAGGUGGGUGGAAUUCCUAGUGUAGAGGUGAAAUUCGUAGAUAUUAGGAAGAACACCGGUGGCGAAGGCGGCCCACUGGAUCGGUACUGACGCUCAGGCACGAAAGCGUGGGGAGCAAACAGG
rnacentral:rRNA from 1 species